rnacentral:rRNA from 1 species
UUUACAACAAAAUAAUUCGCCAGAGGACUACUAGCAAUAGCUUAAAACUCAAAGGACUUGGCGGUGCUUUAUAUCCCUCUAGAGGAGCCUGUUCUAUAAUCGAUAAACCCCGAUAAACCUCACCACCUUUCGCUAAUUCAGUCUAUAUACCGCCAUCUUCAGCAAACA